rnacentral:ncRNA from 1 species
CGUCGAGAGAUAUCGGAAGAGUUUUCUUUUCUGUUUUAUAGCCGUACUACCAUGGAAGUCUUUCGCAGAGAGAUAUGGUAGAUGGGCUAGAAGAGCAUGACAUAUACUGUUGUGACGAUAUUUUCUCCUCGGACCUUGAAAAUUUAUGGUGGGGACACGCAAACUUCUCAUCAGGCCGUACCAAUAUCCGCAGCUGGUCUCCAAGGUGAAGAGUCUCUAGUCGAUAGAAUAAUGUAGGUAAGGGAAGUCGGCAAAUUAGAUCCGUAACUUCGGGAUAAGGAUUGGCUCUGAAGAUUGAGAUAGUCGGGCUUGAUUGGGAAACAAUAACAUGGUUUAUGUGCUCGUUCUGGGUAAAUAGAGUUUCUAGCAUUUAUGUUAGUUACUUGUUCCCCGGAUAGUUUAGUUACGUAGCCAAUUGUGGAACUUUCUUGCUAAAAUUUUUAAGAAUACUAUUUGGGUUAAACCAAUUAGUUCUUAUCAAUUAUAACGAUUAUCAAUUAACAAUCAAUUCAGAACUGGCACGGACUUGGGGAAUCCGACUGUCUAAUUAAAACAAAGCAUUGUGAUGGCCCUAGCGGGUGUUGACACAAUGUGAUUUCUGCCCAGUGCUCUGAAUGUCAAAGUGAAGAAAUUCAAGUAAGCGCGGGUCAACGGCGGGAGUAACUAUGACUCUCUUAAGGUAGCCAAAUGCCUCGUCAUCUAAUUAGUGACGCGCAUGAAUGGAUUAACGAGAUUCCUACUGUCCCUAUCUACUAUCUAGCGAAACCACAGCCAAGGGAACGGGCUUGGAAUAAUUAGCGGGGAAAGAAGACCCUUUUGAGCUUGACUCUAAUCUGGCAGUGUAAGGAGACAUAAGAGGUGUAGAAUAAGUGGGAGAUAUUAGACCUCGGUUUGGUAUCGUCAAUGAAAUACCACUACUCUUAUUGUUUCCUUACUUACUUGAUUAAAUGGAACGUGUAUCAUUUCCUAGCCAUUAUACGGAUAUAUUUAUUAUAUCUUAUGGUAUUGGGUUUUGAUGCAAGCUUCUUGAUCAAAGUAUCACGAGUUUGUUAUAUAAUCGCAAACAAAUUCUUUAAUAAAACGAUGCAUUUAUGUAUUUUUGAUUUGAAAAUUUGGUAUACUCCAAUUACUCAGGUAUGAUCCAAUUCAAGGACAUUGCCAGGUAGGGAGUUUGACUGGGGCGGUACAUCUCUCAAAUAAUAACGGAGGUGUCCCAAGGCCAGCUCAGUGCGGACAGAAACCACACAUAGAGCAAAAGGGCAAAUGCUGACUUGAUCUCGGUGUUCAGUACACACAGGGACAGCAAAAGCUCGGCCUAUCGAUCCUUUUGGUUUAAAGAGUUUUUAACAAGAGGUGUCAGAAAAGUUACCAUAGGGAUAACUGGCUUGUGGCGGCCAAGCGUUCAUAGCGACGUCGCUUUUUGAUCCUUCGAUGUCGGCUCUUCCUAUCAUUGUGAAGCAAAAUUCACCAAGCGUUGGAUUGUUCACCCAUGCAAGGGAACGUGAGCUGGGUUUAGACCGUCGUGAGACAGGUUAGUUUUACCCUACUAAUGACAAAACGUUGUUGCGACAGCAUUCCUGCGUAGUACGAGAGGAACCGCAGGUACGGACCAAUGGCACAAUACUUGUUCGAGCGAACAGUGGUAUGACGCUACGUCCGUUGGAUUAUGCCUGAACGCCUCUAAGGUCGUAUCCGUGCUGGACUGCAAUGAUAAAUAAGGGGC